rnacentral:rRNA from 1 species
UUUCCCUAUACGCUGCGGCAGGCCUAACACAUGCAAGUCGAGCGGAUGAAGGGAGCUUGCUCCCGGAUUCAGCGGCGGACGGGGUGAGUAAUGCCUAGGAAUCUGCCUGGUAGUGGGGGACAACGUUCCGAAAGGAGCGCUAAUACCGCAUACGUCCUACGGGAGAAAGUGGGGGAUCUUCGGACCUCACGCUAUCAGAUGAGCCUAGGUCGGAUUAGCUAGUAGGUGGGGUAAUGGCUCACCUAGGCGACGAUCCGUAACUGGUCUGAGAGGAUGAUCAGUCACACUGGAACUGAGACACGGUCCAGACUCCUACGGGAGGCAGCAGUGGGGAAUAUUGGACAAUGGGCGAAAGCCUGAUCCAGCCAUGCCGCGUGUGUGAAGAAGGUCUUCGGAUUGUAAAGCACUUUAAGUUGGGAGGAAGGGCAGUAAGUUAAUACCUUGCUGUUUUGACGUUACCAACAGAAUAAGCACCGGCUAACUUCGUGCCAGCAGCCGCGGUAAUACGAAGGGUGCAAGCGUUAAUCGGAAUUACUGGGCGUAAAGCGCGCGUAGGUGGUUUGGUAAGAUGGAUGUGAAAUCCCCGGGCUCAACCUGGGAACUGCAUCCAUAACUGCCUGACUAGAGUACGGUAGAGGGUGGUGGAAUUUCCUGUGUAGCGGUGAAAUGCGUAGAUAUAGGAAGGAACACCAGUGGCGAAGGCGACCACCUGGACUGAUACUGACACUGAGGUGCGAAAGCGUGGGGAGCAAACAGGAUUAGAUACCCUGGUAGUCCACGCCGUAAACGAUGUCGACUAGCCGUUGGGAUCCUNGAGAUACUUAGUGGCGCAGCUAACGCGAUAAGUCGACCGCCCUGGGNNNACGCGCCGCNCAA